rnacentral:rRNA from 1 species
CCUUCGGGGGCAGAGUGACAGGUGGUGCAUGGUUGUCGUCAGCUCGUGUCGUGAGAUGUUGGGUUAAGUCCCGCAACGAGCGCAACCCUUGAUCUUAGUUGCCAGCAUUCAGUUGGGCACUCUAAGGUGACUGCCGGUGACAAACCGGAGGAAGGUGGGGAUGACGUCAAAUCAUCAUGCCCCUUAUGACCUGGGCUACACACGUGCUACAAUGGACAGAACAAAGGGCAGCGAAACCGCGAGGUUAAGCCAAUCCCACAAAUCUGUUCUCAGUUCGGAUCGCAGUCUGCAACUCGACUGCGUGAAGCUGGAAUCGCUAGUAAUCGCGGAUCAGCAUGCCGCGGUGAAUACGUUCCCGGGCCUUGUACACACCGCCCGUCACACCACGAGAGUUUGUAACACCCGAAGUCGGUGAGGUAACCUUUUAGGAGCC